rnacentral:rRNA from 1 species
CGGGACACGUGGUAUCCUGUCUGAAUAUGGGGGGACCAUCCUCCAAGGCUAAAUACUCCUGACUGACCGAUAGUGAACCAGUACCGUGAGGGAAAGGCGAAAAGAACCCCGGCGAGGGGAGUGAAAAAGAACCUGAAACCGUGUACGUACAAGCAGUGGGAGCACAGAGCAAUCUGUGUGACUGCGUACCUUUUGUAUAAUGGGUCAGCGACUUAUAUUCUGUAGCAAGGUUAACCGAAUAGGGGAGCCGAAGGGAAACCGAGUCUUAACUGGGCGUUAAGUUGCAGGGUAUAGACCCGAAACCCGGUGAUCUAGCCAUGGGCAGGUUGAAGGUUGGGUAACACUAACUGGAGGACCGAACCGACUAAUGUUGAAAAAUUAGCGGAUGACUUGUGGCUGGGGGUGAAAGGCCAAUCAAACCGGGAGAUAGCUGGUUCUCCCCGAAAGCUAUUUAGGUAGCGCCUCGUGAAUUCAUCUCCGGGGGUAGAGCACUGUUUCGGCAAGGGGGUCAUCCCGACUUACCAACCCGAUGCAAACUGCGAAUACCGGAGAAUGUUAUCACGGGAGACACACGGCGGGUGCUAACGUCCGUCGUGAAGAGGGAAACAACCCAGACCGCCAGCUAAGGUCCCAAAGUCAUGGUUAAGUGGGAAACGAUGUGGGAAGGCCCAGACAGCCAGGAUGUUGGCUUAGAAGCAGCCAUCAUUUAAAGAAAGCGUAAUAGCUCACUGGUCGAGUCGGCCUGCGCGGAAGAUGUAACGGGGCUAAACCAUGCACCGAAGCUGCGGCAGCGACGCU